GCAGGGCAGACGGAGCUCCGUGGCCGGCGCUGCUGGCUGGCUGGCGCCUGAAGUGGUGACAGGCCAACCAUGUGGCCCCCAAGUGGACAUAUGGUCUUUGGGAAUCGUGGGCAUCGAAAUGGUGGAACGAGAAGUUCCUUCCUGGAAUGCAACUCCUGUCUUGAAAAUGUCAGAAUUACAGAUGUACGCACUAAAGUAUCCAAGAUUUCUGUGCAACAGAAAGGCUUUCUCACCUGCAGUUUUCAGUAGAAAAGCAACAAACCUUUGAAAGGCUAAACCUCAACGUAACUGUGACCUUCAAUCAACACUUCCUUCUUCCAAUUUCUUAAGAUCUCUUUGUCCUGGGCACUCAGUAUGGCCUUUUUCCUCAAAGUUCUUUAGCUGUCUUGAAUGCUUACAGCGUAAAAGGUAAUCCCUGAUCUAUUUUCAACUCCCUGCUCAGAUGCACACUGCUGGAAGGGAGCUAGGACUGGUACUGGAGACCUGGCAGCUUGUCCAGGAAGCAAAAUUUUUGAAAUAAUGAAAAUUUGGAGAAGCAUGCAAGUCCAGGUGGUGAACUCAAAUAUGCAAGUACUUGCAGUUUCCUGACAGCACUUUACAGUUCAAGGGUAUGGUCUCUUCUUACUUCUGUCCCUUAAUGCUCAAUCCUUGCCACAUUUCAACUUCUUUUGCAUUGUCAUCUUCUGUGUUUUCUUCCUCUCUUCUUCUCUCUGUGACUUUCUAUGCAGGACAGAUAACCUGUCAUACAGUGUCAGCUUGCUCAGUGACCUGAGUAGUGAUAUGAUGGUGUAGAAAUUGUAGGUGCACAGUAGGCAAACGUGUCAUGCUUCUGUGUGCCCUCUGCCGGCAGACCUGCUUCCCAAACCUUCAGUCAGACUUGGAAAAAAGGCUUGUCACCACUACUUUGUUGUGGUUUAUGCAUUGAUGAAGAAACACUUCCAUCUCAGCCUGCUCAAGCCACUGCAGAGCAGGAGUUGUUGCUUUGGCAGCAGAUGUGCUGGCAGGGUCCUUACAGCUCUGCAAGAUGUGCCUCUCCUAGAACAGAUUUUUGCAUUUUUGUACAAUAAAAAC